rnacentral:rRNA from 1 species
CGCUAUCACUCCUACGGGAGGCAGCAGUAGGGAAUCUUCACAAUGGGCGCAAGCCUGAUGGAGCAACACCGCGUGAGUGAAGAAGGGUUUCGGCUCGUAAAGCUCUGUUGUUAAAGAAGAACACGUAUGAGAGUAACUGUUCAUACGUUGACGGUAUUUAACCAGAAAGUCACGGCUAACUACGUGCCAGCAGCCGCGGUAAUACGUAGGUGGCAAGCGUUAUCCGGAUUUAUUGGGCGUAAAGAGAGUGCAGGCGGUUUUCUAAGUCUGAUGUGAAAGCCUUCGGCUUAACCGGAGAAGUGCAUCGGAAACUGGAUAACUUGAGUGCAGAAGAGGGUAGUGGAACUCCAUGUGUAGCGGUGGAAUGCGUAGAUAUAUGGAAGAACACCAGUGGCGAAGGCGGCUACCUGGUCUGCAACUGACGCUGAGACUCGAAAGCAUGGGUAGCGAACAGGAUUAGAUACCCUGGUAG